rnacentral:rRNA from 1 species
AUGUUUUUAUACAAAACAAAAACAAAAGAAUCGCAGAUACUGUGGAGGAGGAUGCGCCAGGGCAGUUGUUUAGUUUUCUUCUCCUUUCAUGGGCUUGCCUUUCUUGACACACGACUUACCAAAUGGCCAAAAGAUCAAUGCGAAGAUCCCAUCAGAUAUCCACUGGUUAAAAUACGGACGCCUUUGUUAGACUUGAUGAUUUGUUCAAAUGAAGCCGAGCGGAAAGAGGAGAUUAGUUUUUAUUUUAGACAGAGAAAUGAGAGAUUAGUUCAACAGAUUGUGCUGCUUUUUUGGAUACUAAUAGAUUAUCUAGUGCGUGGACCCAAGCAGAAUCUAGCCGUUUAG